rnacentral:rRNA from 1 species
GACGAACGCUUGCGGCGUGCUUAACACAUGCAAGUCGAACGAAGUGGCGAACGGGUGAGUAAUACGUGAGUAACCUGCCCUCCUUUUUGGGAUAAGCCUUGGAAACUGGGUCUAAUACCGAAUAAAGGGGGAUGGGCUCGCGGCCUAUCCGCUUGUUGUUGGGGUGAUGGCCUACCAAGGCGGUGCCGGGUAGCCGGCCUGAGAGGGUGACCGGCCACAGUGGGACGGAGUUACGGCCCAGACUCCUACGGGAGGCAGCAGUGGGGGAUAUGGCACAAUUGGCGAAAGCCUGAUGCAGCGACGCCGCGUGGGGGAUGAAGGCUUUCGGGUUGUAAACCUCUUUCGAUAUCGAACGUGUAGGUGGAGAAGAAGCGCCGGCUAACUACGUGCCAGCAGCCGCGGUAAUUC